ACAGCCCUGAGAGUAAAAGGGAAGUCAGCUGCGACCUGUUGAGAGAAGGAAAGAGGCAGGUCUGGGCUUGAUGGGGAAAUGAGCGAAUCUGAAGGAGGUAAAGGAAUAGUGGGAACAAAGGGCCCCCUGAGGAGGCUGCACACUAAGGAGAAGUGGAUGGCUGGAGCAUCUAAUGCCUGGACACUGGAGUCACAUGAGAUGUGAGGAUGCUCCCAGCCAGGAAGAAGAGUGAUUGAUGCUAGUGAUUGAGCUGGAACUUAGAUUCCCUGUGGAAAAGGGAAAAGAUGAAUAAGAGCAAGGACCACUUAAUGAGGAUCUGAUGUUUUCUUCUAUCCACACUUCCUACAAAGGCCUGCCACCUCUAAACCAGCAGGUGGUUCAGCUUU